AUGGUUUGGAAAGUAAAUAAAAAGAGGAAAAAAAAAAAAAAAUCUGUUCUUCUCAGUUUAAUAUCUGAUACGCCCCGAUUCGGGGCAACGAUAAACCCAUUUUAGAAUAGGGAGCUGAAUAAGGGGCUCGCUCCGUUCGCUCCACGCAUCGACCGGUAUUGCAGCGCCCCGGGAACGGUGCCCCUUUG